CACAUGCAAGUCGAGCGGAUGAAGGGAGCUUGCUCCUGGAUUCAGCGGCGGACGGGUGAGUAAUGCCUAGGAAUCUGCCUGGUAGUGGGGGAUAACGUCCGGAAACGGGCGCUAAUACCGCAUACGUCCUGAGGGAGAAAGUGGGGGAUCUUCGGACCUCACGCUAUCAGAUGAGCCUAGGUCGGAUUAGCUAGUUGGUGGGGUAAAGGCCUACCAAGGCGACGAUCCGUAACUGGUCUGAGAGGAUGAUCAGUCACACUGGAACUGAGACACGGUCCAGACUCCUACGGGAGGCAGCAGUGGGGAAUAUUGGACAAUGGGCGAAAGCCUGAUCCAGCCAUGCCGCGUGUGUGAAGAAGGUCUUCGGAUUGUAAAGCACUUUAAGUUGGGAGGAAGGGCAGUAAGUUAAUACCUUGCUGUUUUGACGUUACCAACAGAAUAAGCACCGGCUAACUUCGUGCCAGCAGCCGCGGUAAUACGAAGGGUGCAAGCGUUAAUCGGAAUUACUGGGCGUAAAGCGCGCGUAGGUGGUUCA
rnacentral:rRNA from 1 species